GCACUGCUCGCCUUCGUUGUCGUCGUCUCAGUGAGGCUCUGGACGCAGAAGGGCUUCCACAGCAACUCGCAGAGCAAGAGACACGCAAGCGAAAGGACGUGUGGUCCUGCGCCAGACGUUGUGGAUAGAACAAUCACUAAAGAAGACGCAACGGAACUUGAGACGUUUCCUGAGGGCAAAGGCCUCUGUCUGGCAACCUUGGACCCGGAACAAUGUGUUGUCAGCAGUCUGAUGCCACGGUGAGCAAGGUGGAACCCGCUGGACACAGAAUUCUGUGUUGUCCAACGCUCCGGACACUCCUGGCUAUACCUCACUGUGGGCGGACGACACAUAUCAACUCUGUAAUAAACAACUGAAAGGCUUUUGUGUGGCGGCAUAUCCUCCUGAGCACAAGUGUCGUUCUCGUAACUACAU